UGUGUAUAUAGUGUUGGUUUUUUAUAUCUUACUCAAGUAAAGGAAACUCUGAAGUCUUUUGAAGGCGGGCGCCGCCGUCUCAGCCUGGGUUGCGGUGGCCCUCCUUUUUUUCUCUACUACUUCUCUUUUCUGUGAAAUUUCCUCCCUUUUUUCUUUUGUCCCUUUUUCUUUUCUCUUUUUCCCAACCCCUUCACAUCUUCCUUCUCAGCUCUUUCUCUCUUCUCGCCGGCAACAACCUUCCACUACCCUUCUCUUGCUAUCACCUGCUUUCUCUUCUUUCUUUCGCAACUUUUCUUUUUAUUUUUUUCUACUUAUUUCUGUUGUUACUUUGUUGCCUGUUUCGUUUGGUUGUUUUUUGUUUUUGGAGAUCUAGAUCUGAGAUCCAGAUCUAGAUUAAAUAACCCCUUUGUGGUGUUUUUCUCUCCUUUUGUGGUGCACUGGUCCCUUUUAUAGGUGUUGUUGGUGAUGUUUUCGCAGGUUCGAGAUGAAGAUACAACGAGGGUCUUUCAUCUAUGAAAAUAUUUACAGUUUUAAAUAGCAUUUAGACCGAUUCUGAGAAGAAUAGAAGAUAAGUUUUUGUGGUGCAGCACUUUCUGUCUAGAUUUAGAAACAAAAGAGAUUGUAACGAGUCUCUGUUUCUCUUGUAUAAGAUUCUUUGUAAUCGAACUUUUUGCAUCCUCUCAGACAAUAGUUCAACAUAGAACUUAUCCAUUUUCUUGUUUAGUUUCAAAUCAAAUGUUUCUUCUGUAAUAUUUAAGUGCGAUUUGCCUAUUUUCUUAAAUGAAAGUUUUCUUCUGUAAAAAAAAGUUCAAAUUAUUUUUAAAGUAACACGCUGCCAAAUCACAUAAUAUAUAUACUUUUGGGCCAUGGAUUCUUUAUUCCUACUUUUAUAUAGGAGUAUGAUUAACCAUCAUCAAAAUAAUUACAAAAUAUAUUCCCUUUUUAUUUUUUUUGAAAACAUUAAUAAUUAGAUAUUGAUCCCUCUAAUUUUUGUUUUUUACACUUUUUCUCUUUUCCUUUUAAUUUCAGAUUCCGAGAAGAGGAGCAUGCCUGCUAAGAUUUUUCAUCCAAUUUCAAUCACUGCCAUUCUCUCAUCCUCUUUCUAUGCUGUAUCUUUCGUUCGCUUAUCCUCGCUGCCACAACACGCCUCAAAUGACGUCGCAACCUGCUUCCGUCGCCGCGUAACCUGCUUCUGCCGUCGCCGCGCAAGACGCUGCCUCAACACUUGGAGGAACUUGAGUGCCAAAAAUCUGUAUGGUUAUGCUGCGGAGGAAGUUCUUGGGCAGGAUGGGAUUGAGCUGAUUGUUGACUCCAAGAAUUUUGCCUUGGCUGAUGAUAUUGUGAACCGUGUCGUAAUGGGAGAGAGCUGGACUGGACAAUUCUCGGUCAAGAACAAGACGGGAGAGCAGUUCUUGGCGGUGGUGACGAAUACUCCUUUUUAUGAUGAUGAUGGAAGUUUAGUUGGGAUUAUCUAUGUCUCAAGUGAUUUGCAGCUCUUUGUUGAAACGAGAGUUCUGUGCUUGGCUGCAAACAAUGCUGAAUCAGGUUCAGGCUCUAGGCCUCUUAGAAGUAGCAUUUCAAAUAAACUUGGCCUUGAUACUCAGCAGCCUCUCCAAACUUCUAUAGCAUCCAAGUUCUCGAAUUUAGUUAGUGUUGUAAAUUUCAUGUUUCCGUAAUUUAUACUAGUAUAGCAUAGCAUGGCUUGAUGUUAGAACCAUUAAACAGGCAUCAAAGGUAAGUAACAAAGUUAAGUCAAGAAUUCAAAUAGGAGAAAAUAACGGUGAUCGUGAAAGCGGGAGCGGAGGAAGUCAUAAAUAUGAGUAUUUUAGUUUUUCAGAAGUUGGUGUUGCAUACCAUAGAGAGGAUGCUAAUUGCAGUAGAGCUAGUAUACACAGAGAUGAUGUGAUGCAGUUCCCUUUUGGUAUAUUUUCUCAUGGUGAGGAAAGAUCCCAAGGAAAAAGUCUGAAAAAAUUUGUCGAUAAUAGUAAAGGAAAAUCUAUUCACAAGAUUAUAAUGUCUAGGGUUAAAGCAUGGAUUCAAAAGAAAACAAUGGCAUGGCCAUGGAAAGCAAAUGAUCAAAAAGGAUCGGAGGCAAAGGAUGUCUGUGUUGCUGUGCCUUUCUUGUCAAAUGAUCAUAAAAAAAUCAGUCAGUUAAUCAGAAGCAAGAACACCAAGGAGGUGAAAGAAAUCACCUUAGUAACAAUGAGGCUUUAGGAUCCUAGUCCUCAUCCAUCAAUAUUAACAGCACAAGUAGUGCUAGCACCUGUGGAAGUGCUGGAAGUUGUGCUGUAAAUAAUAAAGUUGAUGUGGACACUGAUUGCUUGGAUUAUGAAAUUUUGUGGAAAGACCUGACUAUUGAAGAACAAAUUGGACAAGAGACCCAUUAUAAAUCCUAUUUUUUGCAAACGGGAUGGGAAAAUAAUAGCAGACUACUAUGUUAUAGUGAUAUGUGUAUCCAAGAAGGCACUAUAUAAGUCUAUACAGCAGCUGAGAGCGGUGAGUUUUUACAUUAUUUUCAAAGCAUGUGUUUUGAAUUUCGUAUGAAGACUUGUUAUUUUGAAUGACUCGAGUCCAAAUAACCCAAUUAUAUUUAGUUUGGAAUAAAAUAUUAGUCUACAUGAUGUAUUACUGCCACUAGCAAUGGCUAGCAUUACUACAUGGACUUGGCAUAAAAGAGUGACUAUGUGAAUUUCCUUUCAUCUAUGAUUCUCAUACUCAUUUUCAUGUUGAUUACAUUCGUUUAAUGUAGAUUAGUGGUAGUGGCGUUCUUAUAUCACCUUUGACCUACAAUUUUUAUGAGAAAACACCAAGAUAGCGCUAACUACUUUCUGAACUUGGACUGUAGUCAUUUAUAAUUAAUGGAUGAAACCUUUUUCAUAUACUAUGGACACAAAAGCGUAUUGACUUUGAUGAAAGCUGCAAAGUACACUCCGUUUAGAAUUAGAAACUAAAAAUGCAAUUCUUAAUUUUCAUUAAUAGCAACUUCUGGAUUGAUAUUGGUUGAAAGUUUUGUAGCAGCAAGCCUGUAUUUUUCUCCUUUUUGUCUC